rnacentral:lncRNA from 1 species
GUAAAACAACCAAAAUUAGAAAUCUAGUAUUUUAGAUUUAAAUGAGAAUGAGAAAAGAUGAGAAAAUGCGAAACUAUAAUACGAAAGCUAAACCUCGAUUUCACGAACAAAAUUUGACGGAAAUUGCCCACGGUUAUGGUCAUCCUCUCCAACGACAAAUCCCUCCCACCAGCCGUCUUCAUAAAGCUUAAGAACUGCAAUGGUAUCUCCCUUCCUGAAGCUUAUCUCUUCGGGUAUUGCAGCAUCAUAAUCAUAUAAAGCAGAUACUAAAUUCAAGUUAGUAAUUGUAAUAGCGAUGGACAGAUUAGACAUACCAUAACCAAGAAUACGUUGACCAUCUGUACUUGUUGGAUUAUCAAUACUGGUGUCACCGCCGUCUGUAGGAUAUGCAGGUAAAGAAAGUCGGUUAGACGUGUUUCCAGUAGCUUUUGUAUUUAUUGUAUCAUCAACAAAGGAAGAGUCCCGAUCAGUAUAAGGCUCGUCAUCGGUAGGUGCAGUACCACUUGCUGGAUCAACUCGAACACCGAAAUCAUAAUUUGGCUCUAAAUUUCCUGGUGUUAAGGAACGAGGAAGUCGGCUGGCAUUCUGAGAAAGGGAAGAGGAAGGACGUUUUGGUGACCUACUUUUCCUCAAUGUGAAUGAACUUCGAGAUCCAUUCUUUCUUGAAUCAUAAACGGGUGAAACCGCACGAUUCUCCAUUUGUAGUACACUACCAAAUUCUUCCUGAAUUUGUUGACGCCGUGAUGGAGUGUUAACAUUUGGGCGGGAGUCCUCGGUGAAAGAAACAGAAUUAGGACUUGGUAGAGAACCAAGUUCGUUAUACCUUGGUGGUAGUGUAUUAGAGUUAGGGAAGGCACCAGGAGCAGCAGGCGUAGGAUUCUGUUUUGGCUCUUCUUGUAAAGAAAGAUGCUUCAUCUGUUCAUCAGCCGCUGAAGUUAAAGGAGAGUCAUUUCUCGGACUUGAUAAUGCAUCCGGAGCCGUAUUACCAACGUUUGGAGUCGAAGGACGACUCGUUAAUUUAAACUUACUCAAAAAGCUUUUCUUUGGAGAGCUUCUACCAUUUUGGGAAGAGUUAGAAGAAACAGUGGUAAGCGAUUGAAUUGCACUAGGAGUAUUAGGAAGGGUAUUUUCGAAGGACGACUCAUUACGAGCGGUGGCAGAAAGGACGUAUGGACGAUUCAAUGGCAUGUUGUCAUUUUCUAUUUUGGUUUGGGCCCGCUGAAAAUUAGCCUGAACCAACUCUACAGAAUCAUCGGGAACCUCGCCCUUAUAAUAGUCAUAAAAUUUUGGAGGUUGAGGAAUUCCCGUUCCUGUAGAUUUUGCGUCAAUAAAUUCCAAAACAUCCUGAGAGACACUGCACUGUUCAAGAUUUUUGCGAAUUCGUUCACAUGCUUGAUCAUCAUUAAAGCAACUACGAGAGAUAAGUAGUGUAAAUGUCCACAUGACGCUUUUCAGGAAAUGUCUUCUUUCUUCUUCAAUGUCCUGAAGUUUGUCACAGGUUGACCGCCAUUCGUUGGUCCAACGAGCGUAUGAAUCUCUGACAGCUGCUACAGCUGAUUGAUAGUCAGAAGAACUAGCAGUGAUAGCAUUCUGAGUCUUGUUUAAUUUCGCAUUGUUCUUCUCUAGCUCCUUUCCGAAAAGCAUGUUUUGCUGAGAAACAUAGUAAUUUACUUUCUUGCACAAGUAAUGGUAUUUGUCUUGAGCUUUAACAAGAGCUUGAUGCUUGGAGAGUUUAUCCUUAUGAACUUUUUCUAUCCCCGAAACGAUCAUCUUUUUCUUGUCCUUUAAAGAGGCAGCGUACCGCGUAAACGCAUUUUCGACAUCAUCCUGAAGCAACUGAGAAAUCUGCAAAUGAGACUUUGCCAUAUUGUCAACUUCAGCUUUCAUAACUUGGACUGAUUCUUUGAGGCAACCAGUUUCCAAAGAACUGAAGGUUGUUCGAGACAACUUUGCCAUUCGCUUGGCAUAAUCUUCUUCAAUGUUCGCUCUAAGGUUGAAGUUAGAAUAAACGAUCAUAGCAUGUUAAACCCUGCUUCACCUCAAAUUUCUCACCUUUCAUGAUAAAACGACCGAAGCUCUUCAUUAAUGUGUUUCACAUCGCUAAAACGCGAAAGUAAAGCAUGAUAACCCUCAUCAUUUGCACCCUAAUAAAGAAUGUUAGUUAAGGUGUUGUGUUUAACACAAAAAUCGAAAGUUUUGGCAGAUAAUGAGCUAUCCACGUUGGCUUAGACACCAUACCCAAAAGUAAUUUGAAAAACUUUUAUCAGGCUUUGCUGAAGAUGCAUUAAAGCUUAAUUGUUGAGACAUGUAAACGGAAAAAAACACGAAUUAAGAGAUUUUUCAAUCUCGCCUUUAUGGCAGUAUUCUUUAUUCGUAUAUGGUGGUGGUGUUGAUUGUAAAUGAAACUAACAACGAGGUAAACAAACGGCAACGCGUUGCCAGGUGCAGCUUUUCAUGUCAACAAUUAACAAAUUUAUCAAGAAAACCGAUGUAAUGAAGAUUUUUCAGCCUUAAACUAUCAAAAAAAAGCAAUAGAAUAUUGCAGUGGAAAGAUAAAAAGCCUUCAAAUGCUGAGAUAUAUAUGGUGAACAAUUGAUUCAUUCAAAGUCCACUUUAUUCAUCCUUGAGACUCUAUAAUUGUUAUCUCUGUUAAGCGCACAAGUUUUGCUCACUAUUUUGUAUUGAUUAUGUGUGAAUACUGUGAUUUGAGAAGCGACCCAAGGCAGUCCUGAAAAAAAAUACUUACCAUAAACUCCGGUAAGCGAACUUAUAGACUUAGACAUUAUGCUAAUAAAACAAUGAUUUAGCAUGUAUGUAUUUGCAGACUUCACGUUCUGUAUAGCUAUCUCCCGUCUCAAAUCGUUUUACUAUGUAAAAUAUUAAAUUUUUGAAUGGAAUGCAACAUGCUAUUAAUCAAAAACUUAAUAUACUAUGCAAGCGGUUCAGGCGUACUGA